GGGGCGUUAGCUCAGCCGGUUAGAGCAGGGGACUCAUAAUCCCUUGGUCGUGGGUUCAAGUCCCACACGCCCUACCC
rnacentral:tRNA from 1 species